rnacentral:rRNA from 1 species
UACGAAGGGGGCUAGCGUUGCUCGGAAUCACUGGGCGUAAAGCGCACGUAGGCGGAUUCUUAAGUCAGGGGUGAAAUCCCGGAGCUCAACUCCGGAACUGCCUUUGAUACUGAGAAUCUUGAGUUCGAGAGAGGUGAGUGGAACUGCGAGUGUAGAGGUGAAAUUCGUAGAUAUUCGCAAGAACACCAGUGGCGAAGGCGGCUCACUGGCUCGAUACUGACGCUGAGGUGCGAAAGCGUGGGGAGCAAACAGG